rnacentral:rRNA from 2 species
AAUACGACUCUCGGCAACGGAUAUCUCGGCUCUCGCAUCGAUGAAGAACGUAGCGAAAUGCGAUACUUGGUGUGAAUUGCAGAAUCCCGUGAACCAUCGAGUCUUUGAACGCAAGUUGCGCCCCAAGCCGUUAGGCCGAGGGCACGCCUGCCUGGGUGUCACGC